UGGGGAAUAUUGCACAAUGGGCGCAAGCCUGAUGCAGCAACGCCGCGUGAGGGAUGACGGCCUUCGGGUUGUAAACCUCUUUUAGUAGGGAAGAAGCGAAAGUGACGGUACCUGCAGAAAAAGCACCGGCUAACUACGUGCCAGCAGCCGCGGUAAUACGUAGGGUGCGAGCGUUGUCCGGAAUUAUUGGGCGUAAAGAGCUCGUAGGCGGUCUGUCGCGUCUGCUGUGAAAAACCCGAGGCUCAACCUCGGGGCCUGCAGUGGGGUACGGGCAGACUAGAGUGCGGUAGGGGGAGAAUGGAAUUCCUGGUGUAGCGGUGGAAUGCGCAGAUAUCAGGAGGAACACCGAUGGCGAAGGCAGUUCUCUGGGCCGUAACUGGACGCUGAGGAGCGAAAGCGUGGGGAGCGAACAGGAUUAGAUACCCUGGUAGUCCACGCCGUAAACGUU
rnacentral:rRNA from 1 species